UUCAGCACAUAUUUGAAGAUAACUAUCACACUCUCCCUCCCACCUCAAGUCUUUUCUUCUUCAGGCCAAGUAUUUCUGGUUUCCUUAACCAAUCCUCAUGUGAUAUGGUCUCCAGUCUCCUCACCAUCCUCUUCAUCUUUCUCCUGAUGUGGUGCAGACUGAAAAGAGCACUCUGAAUGUGUUCUGAUCAAGUCUGCAAAGCAUUUUUCUCCCAACAAUCCAGUGAAGUGGGUAGUGCUUUUAUGAUUAUCCCUAUUUUUACAGAUGAAGAAACUGACAUUCAGAACAGUUUAAUGGCUUACAUAGUCACACAGCUGAUUAAUCCCUGUUUUAUCAUAAGGAUUCAAAAAGAAAGAGAAAAGACUUCGGCUUGAUUAAUCAGAUCAAAAAGUAAACUAAAAAAAAGAAGGGAGAAAAACACUUCAGCCAGAGUAAACAUGGGGGGAAAAAGUCUGUUAUAUGUGAAAUGAUAUACCCAGGGUGCCCUAUUUCUGGGAAGAAGGAUGGACAAUGGGGUUGAGUCCCAUCUCUUCUUUGGGAUUGUGCUUGGUGAUUGUAAUGUUUUCAUUAUUUUCCUUUGUAGUUUCUACUUCUGUUUCUGAGAAUUUAUAGUCUGAACCCUUAUUCCUUUGAGGAUACAACAGUCCCAACUUUGGAUUGUAUUAAAAACAAGUCUGAGGCUUAUCUGUAUAAGGGGUACACACGCCCACUCUGGUAGGUGAUCAGAAGCCUCAUGGCUCCCUGGUACUCAGAAGACCCUUGAUUCUUGUCCCAUAUGGCUCCUGGCACCCAGAAAACUGGCCUCUGACUGGAUCUGAGGCCAAGUUCGAGAAAUCAGAGAGACCCAGAAAAGUGAAGUGAUGGGGUCAUAAGUUUGAGGUCCUAUGAAAGCCUUACCUUUUUUUGGUACACAAAAGAUGGUGAGAUGAAACACUAGGGGAACAGGAAUGGAAAGGAACAACUGGCCAUGUGUAACUGGUGCCUCUUCUUUUGUAAGAGAAAACAAAACCUGCUACAAAUCUGUAGGGUCAAGUAAUACAAACUCCUACAUUUUUCUUGUCUAAAAUUUAAAUAAAUAAAUGAAAUAAAGCCA
rnacentral:lncRNA from 1 species